UCAGGGUGUCGCGACUGGCGUUGAGGUGGAUGACCACCGGGGAGCGACCGACACGGAACUCGACCGUACGCCUGGGUCGAGACG
rnacentral:ncRNA from 2 species